rnacentral:rRNA from 1 species
ACGGGUGAGUAACGCGUGGGAAUCUACCCUUUUGUGAAGAAUACCCUCGAGAAAUCGGGGUUAAUACUGCAUAAGUCCCUUCGGGGAGAAAGCUGGCCUCUUUGCUGGCGCGAAAGGAUGAGCCUACGUACUAUUAGCUAGUUGGUAGGGUAAUGGCCUACCAAGGCGAUGAUGGUUAGCCGGCCUGAGAGGGCGUACGGCCACACUGGAACUUAGACACGGUCCAGACUCCUACGGGAGGCAGCAGUGGGGAAUAUUGCGCAAUGGGCGAAAGCCUGACGCAGCGACGCCGCGUGGAGGAUGAAGGUCUUCGGAUUGUAAACUUCUGUUAAGUGGGAAGAAAGCUUUGCUUUUAAUAGAAGCGAGGGAUGACGGUACCAUUAGAGAAAGCACCGGCUAAACUCGUGCCAGCAGCCGCGGUAAUACGAGUGGUGCAAGCGUUAUUCGGAAUCAUUGGGCGUAAAGGGUGUGUAGACGGUAUGUUAAGUCAACUGUUAAAUUCUCCGGCCUAACCGGAGGUCAGCAGUAGAAACUGGCGUGCUAGAGGGUGGAAGAGAGAAGUGGAAUUCUCGGA